AGAAAUAAUAAAAAAAGAACUGACCUGAACUGCGCUAUGGAAGAUGCCUCCCAAACCUAUACCGUCCUUGAAGAUCUUGUUGAUCUGCAUUAUGGUGUUGUUGGUCUUUUCAGAACCACUAGCCUUUCUCUCUCUAUCUCGCUCUGAGAUUUAAUCUUGAAACCCUAAAAGCUUCAAAGUGUCCCCUCACCUCUGUAUUACUUGAUACAUGGCAUCUUUUGUAUUAUACGAUACAAAUCACUUCAAACUCCAAC